rnacentral:misc_RNA from 1 species
GUAGGUGAACCUGCGGAAGGAUCAUUAACACAAUACAUUUACCCAAAUGUAUUUUAACCCCCCUUUGCAAACUUGUUUCAUCUUGUUUUUCCCGGAUUAUUCGCGUUACAGCGUAACAAACUGUACACGUGUGUGAUCUGUGGUUUCAAACCUUUUAACCCCUUGAACUGUCUUUGACUGAAACUCUGAAUAGUUUUUUUACACUUCGGUGUGAAAGAUUAUUCUGCCAUAUAUCAAACGCUGAACAACUCUUAGCAACGGAUAUCUUGGCUCUC